rnacentral:rRNA from 1 species
UACGAAGGGGGGCUAGCGUUGCUCGGAAUGACUGGGCGUAAAGGGCGCGUAGGCGGAUGGCACAGUCAGAUGUGAAAUUCCCGGGCUUAACCUGGGGGCUGCAUUUGAUACGUGUGAUCUAGAGUGAGGAAGAGGGUCGUGGAAUUCCCAGUGUAGAGGUGAAAUUCGUAGAUAUUCGCAAGAACACCAGUGGCGAAGGCGGCUCACUGGCCCCGAUACUGACGCUGAGGCACGAAAGCGUGGGGAGCAAACAGG